UACGAAGGGGGCUAGCGUUGCUCGGAAUUACUGGGCGUAAAGCGUGCGUAGACGGUUACAUAAGUCGGGUGUGAAAGCCCCGGGCUCAACCUGGGAAUUGCAUUCGAGACUGCGUAGCUAGGGUGCGGAAGAGGGAAGCGGAAUUUCCGGUGUAGCGGUGAAAUGCGUAGAUAUCGGAAGGAACACCAGUGGCGAAAGCGGCUUCCUGGUCCAGCACCGACGUUCAGGCACGAAAGCGUGGGGAGCAAACAGG
rnacentral:rRNA from 1 species